ACAGCUCAAAUUUGAAAUCUGGCUCCUUCGGGGCCCGAGUUGUAAUUUGCAGAGGAUGCGUCGGGUACGGGUGCCUUCCGAGUUCCCUGGAACGGGACGCCAUAGAGGGUGAGAGCCCCGUCUGGUAGGACACCCAGCCCGUGUGACGCUCCCUCGACGAGUCGAGUAGUUUGGGAAUGCUGCUCUAACGGGAGGUAUACUCCUUCCAAGGCUAAAUACCGGCUGGAGACCGAUA
rnacentral:rRNA from 1 species